CAUUAAGAAGCUAUGAAUCAGCAUUAGCCUUUUAAGCUAAAGAAAGAGGGGGCCGCCCUCCUUAAUGA
rnacentral:tRNA from 1 species